AGUUUGAUCCUGGCUCAGGAUGAACGCUAGCUACAGGCUUAACACAUGCAAGUCGAGGGGCAGCAUGGUCUUAGCUUGCUAAGGCCGAUGGCGACCGGCGCACGGGUGAGUAACACGUAUCCAACCUGCCGUCUACUCUUGGACAGCCUUCUGAAAGGAAGAUUAAUACAAGAUGGCAUCAUGAGUCCGCAUGUUCACAUGAUUAAAGGUAUUCCGGUAGACGAUGGGGAUGCGUUCCAUUAGAUAGUAGGCGGGGUAACGGCCCACCUAGUCUUCGAUGGAUAGGGGUUCUGAGAGGAAGGUCCCCCACAUUGGAACUGAGACACGGUCCAAACUCCUACGGGAGGCAGCAGUGAGGAAUAUUGGUCAAUGGGCGAGAGCCUGAACCAGCCAAGUAGCGUGAAGGAUGACUGCCCUAUGGGUUGUAAACUUCUUUUAUAAAGGAAUAAAGUCGGGUAUGGAUACCCGUUUGCAUGUACUUUAUGAAUAAGGAUCGGCUAACUCCGUGCCAGCAGCCGCGGUAAUACGGAGGAUCCGAGCGUUAUCCGGAUUUAUUGGGUUUAAAGGGAGCGUAGAUGGAUGUUUAAGUCAGUUGUGAAAGUUUGCGGCUCAACCGUAAAACUGCAGUUGAUACUGGAUAUCUUGAGUGCAGUUGAGGCAGGCGGAAUUCGUGGUGUAGCGGUGAAAUGCUUAGAUAUCACGAAGAACUCCGAUUGCGAAGGCAGCCUGCUAAGCUGCAACUGACAUUGAGGCUCGAAAGUGUGGGUAUCAAACAGGAUUAGAUACCCUGGUAGUCCACACGGUAAACGAUGAAUACUCGCUGUUUGCGAUAUACUGCAAGCGGCCAAGCGAAAGCGUUAAGUAUUCCACCUGGGGAGUACGCCGGCAACGGUGAAACUCAAAGGAAUUGACGGGGGCCCGCACAAGCGGAGGAACAUGUGGUUUAAUUCGAUGAUACGCGAGGAACCUUACCCGGGCUUAAAUUGCAGAUGAAUUACGGUGAAAGCCGUAAGCCGCAAGGCAUCUGUGAAGGUGCUGCAUGGUUGUCGUCAGCUCGUGCCGUGAGGUGUCGGCUUAAGUGCCAUAACGAGCGCAACCCUUGUUGUCAGUUACUAACAGGUUCCGCUGAGGACUCUGACAAGACUGCCAUCGUAAGAUGUGAGGAAGGUGGAAGG
rnacentral:rRNA from 1 species